rnacentral:rRNA from 1 species
GACGAACGCUGGCGGCGUGCCUAACACAUGCAAGUCGAGCGAGUGAAUCUCCUUCGGGAGUGAAGCUAGCGGCGGACGGGUGAGUAACACGUGGGCAACCUGCCUCAUAGAGGGGAAUAGCCUUCCGAAAGGAAGAUUAAUACCGCAUAAGAUUGUAGCUUCGCAUGAAGUAGCAAUUAAAGGAGCAAUCCGCUAUGAGAUGGGCCCGCGGCGCAUUAGCUAGUUGGUGAGGUAACGGCCCACCAAGGCGACGAUGCGUAGCCGACCUGAGAGGGGGAUCGGCCAAAUUGGGACGGGGACACGGCCCAGACUCCUACGGGAGGCAGAAGUGGGGAAUAUUGCACAAUGGGGGAAACCCUGAUGCAGCAACGCCGGGUGGGUGAUGACGGCCUUCGGGUUGUAAAGCUCUGUCUUCAGGGACGAUAAUGACGGUACCUGAGGAGGAAGCCACGGCUAACUACGUGCCAGCAGCCGCGGUAA